AUGGGCAUUUUCAAAAUCCCCUACUCAGUGUGUGAUGACCUGACUCGUAUAAUACGCCAAUACUGGUGGGGGGUGGAGAACGGCAAGAGGAAGAUGGCCUGGUUGAGCUGGGACAAACUACGGCUACCUAAACCCAUGGGGGGCAUGGGUUUUCAUGACAUGAGGGCUUUCAACCAGGCUCUGCUCGCCAAACAGGCCUGGAGGCUCAUUGACAAGCCUGAUAGCUUAUGUGCGCGUCUGCUGAAAGCUAAAUACUACCCCUCUGGACAGCUCCUUGAUACUGUCUUUCCGAGCUCCGGUUCGGAGGUGUGGAAAGGAGUUUUGCAUGGCCUUGAACUUGUCAAGAAGGGGGCGAUUUGGCGUGUUGGCAAUGGUACUAUGAUCCGGACGUGA
rnacentral:rRNA from 1 species